CNUCCGUAGGGNAACCUGCGGAGGGAUCAUUAAAGAGUUGCAAGACUCCCACAAACUAUCGCGAACGCUUACCCUUAGACGUCGUUGCCUCGGCGGGCUCGCCUGCCGGGGGAGCGCUAACUAGAUUCUUUGUAAGUUACCCGGCCUCUCUGAGUACGAUUUUUAAACAAGUUAAAACUUUCAACAACGGAUCUCUUGGUUCUGGCAUCGAUGAAGAACGCAGCGAAAUGCGAUAAGUAAUGUGAAUUGCAGAAUUCAGUGAAUCAUCGAAUCUUUGAACGCACAUUGCGCCCGCUAGUAUUCUGGCGGGCAUGCCUGUCCGAGCGUCAUUUCAACCCCCCUCAAGCCCUCUCCCCGGCUUGGUGCUGAGGCCCUGCGGCUGUUCGCAGGCCUCGAAAACUAGUGGCGGGCUCGCUAGUCACCCCGAGCGCAGUAGCACAUCUCGCUUAGGGCGUGCAGCGGGUCUUUUGCCGUGAAACACCCCCCCCUUACCACAAAGGUUGACCUCGGAUCAGGUAGGAGUACCCGCUGAACUUAAGCAUAUCAAUAAGCGGAGGAA
rnacentral:rRNA from 1 species